rnacentral:rRNA from 1 species
GGGGCUAGCGUUGCUCGGAAUCACUGGGCGUAAAGCGCACGUAGGCGGCUUCUUAAGUCAGGGGUGAAAUCCUGGAGCUCAACUCCAGAACUGCCUUUGAUACUGAGAAGCUUGAGUCCGGGAGAGGUGAGUGGAACUGCGAGUGUAGAGGUGAAAUUCGUAGAUAUUCGCAAGAACACCAGUGGCGAAGGCGGCUCACUGGCCCGGUACUGACGCUGAGGUGCGAAAGCGUGGGGAGCAAACAGG